rnacentral:rRNA from 1 species
GUUUGAUCCUGGCUCAGGAUGAACGCUAGCUACAGGCUUAACACAUGCAAGUCGAGGGGAAACGAUAGAGAAAGCUUGCUUUUUCUAGGCGUCGACCGGCGCACGGGUGAGUAACGCGUAUCCAACCUGCCCACCACUUGGGAAUAACCUUGCGAAAGUAAGACUAAUACCCAAUGAUAUCUCUAGAAGACAUCUGAAGGAGAUUAAAGAUUUAUCGGUGAUGGAUGGGGAUGCGUCUGAUUAGCUUGUUGGCGGGGUAACGGCCCACCAAGGCUACGAUCAGUAGGGGUUCUGAGAGGAAGGUCCCCCACAUUGGAACUGAGACACGGUCCAAACUCCUACGGGAGGCAGCAGUGAGGAAUAUUGGUCAAUGGGCGAGAGCCUGAACCAGCCAAGUAGCGUGCAGGAUGACGGCCCUAUGGGUUGUAAACUGCUUUUAUAAGGGAAUAAAGUGAGCCUCGUGAGGCUUUUUGCAUGUACCUUAUGAAUAAGGACCGGCUAAUUCCGUGCCAGCAGCCGCGGUAAUACGGAAGGUCCGGGCGUUAUCCGGAUUUAUUGGGUUUAAAGGGAGCGUAGGCCGGAGAUUAAGCGUGUUGUGAAAUGUAGACGCUCAACGUCUGCACUGCAGCGCGAACUGGUUUCCUUGAGUACGCACAAAGUGGGCGGAAUUCGUGGUGUAGCGGUGAAAUGCUUAGAUAUCACGAAGAACUCCGAUUGCGAAGGCAGCUCACUGGAGCGCAACUGACGCUGAAGCUCGAAAGUGCGGGUAUCGAACAGGAUUAGAUACCCUGGUAGUCCGCACGGUAAACGAUGGAUGCCCGCUGUUGGUCUGAAUAGGUCAGCGGCCAAGCGAAAGCAUUAAGCAUCCCACCUGGGGAGUACGCCGGCAACGGUGAAACUCAAAGGAAUUGACGG